GCACUUUGCGUGCAAAGAUUCUCCGCGUAAGGCGAUGACGACGCAGGAAGCCGGUGAGAAUCCGGCGCGGUCCCGCCACUGUCACCGGGUAGCGACCCUCAAAUGCCACGGCCACGGGCUGGAAGGCGAGGCGAGCAACGACCCGGGAGCCAGGAGACUCGCGUCAUCGCAUCCUGCUCA
rnacentral:ncRNA from 2 species